rnacentral:tRNA from 1 species
UUUAGGAUCCUAUAAAAUAGAAUAGUCUAUAAGUAACUGAGUAAUAAGAUCUAAUUACUUUGUGAUUUUA